rnacentral:rRNA from 1 species
UACGUAGGGUGCGAGCGUUAAUCGGAAUUACUGGGCGUAAAGCGUGCGCAGGCGGUUUUGUAAGACAGAGGUGAAAUCCCCGGGCUCAACCUGGGAACUGCCUUUGUGACUGCAAGGCUUGAGUGCGGCAGAGGGGGAUGGAAUUCCGCGUGUAGCAGUGAAAUACGUAGAGAUGUGGAGGAACACCGAUGGCGAAGGCAGCCCCCUGGGCUAACACUGACGCUCAUGCACGAAAGCGUGGGGAGCAAACAGG